ensembl:snoRNA
GUUGUAAAUGAUGAUUUCACUUUUCCCCCAUCAGAUCAACAAUGCUGAUCUUAGAACACUUGCCAGUUUAAAAAAAUAAAAAGAGCCGGGCAUGGUGGUACAC